GAACGCACAUUGCGCCCCCUGGUAUUCCGGGGGGCAUGCCUGUUCGAGCGUCAUUUCACCACUCAAGUCUCGCUUGGUAUUGGGCAACGCGGUCCGCCGCGUGCCUCAAAUCGUCCGGCUGGGUCUUCUGUCCCCUAAGCGUUGUGGAAACUAUUCGCUAAAGGGUGUUCGGGAGGCUACGCCGUAAAACAACCCCAUUUCUAAGGUUGACCUCGGAUCAGGUAGGGAUACCCGCUGAACUUAAG
rnacentral:misc_RNA from 1 species